GCAGAAGGAUCAUUAGUGAAGAUUUGGGCAGGCCAUACGGACGCCAAAAAAGUGUCCCUGGCCGCCUACAUCCACUAUACAUCCACAAACCCGUGUGCACUGUCUUGGAGAAAGGCUUCUUGAGAAGUUUUGUGGCCUCUCUUGGGGUCUUUCUUCGCUACAAACUCGAAUGGUUAGUAUGAACGUGGAACUUGGUUGGACCGUCACUGGCCAACAAACUAUACACAACUUUCGACAACGGAUCUCUUGGUUCUCCCA
rnacentral:misc_RNA from 1 species